rnacentral:RNase_P_RNA from 13 species
GAAGGAAAAAGAGAAGGAAAAAGAGAAAGAAAAAGGAGAAAAAGAGGGGUACACAACUUUGAGACAGUUGGUUCGUGAUUUGACAGAUGAAUCUUCAUUUGAUUCUCAAUUUCGUGCUGUUUUCUUUUUGACUCUUCCUUCUUUUGCAACUCCGAUGGAAGUUCUUGCCCUUUUGAAGG